CUCUGGUGGUACCUGCCGGGCCUCCAGUUUCUCUUCUCUCUUCCAGUGUCAAAAUCCCAGUAUUCCUGACUGCGUUCUUCUUCUGGCUCCUCUUUGGCUUCUUCUGACAGCUCUUCAUCUCGUUUGUGUCUCCUCUGGUGGUACCUGCCAGGUCUCCAGUUCCUCUUAUCUCUUCCGGUAUCAAAAUCCCAGUACUCCUGGCUACGUUCUCCAUCUUCCUCGCCCUCUGAUGGCUCAUCAUUCCGUUUGUGGAGUGUUUUCUUGUGAUGAUAGCGAUGUGUGGGUUUCCAAAUGCGCCUGUAUCUCUCCUCCUCGUUCUCAUCCCGGUGCCUUUUGUCUGCUUCCCAGCGCUCUUGGCUACGCUCCUCAUCUACCUCAUCGUCUCCUAAAGGUUCCUCAUCUCGUUUGUGUUUUCUUUGGUGGUAUCUUCCAGGCCUCCAGCUGCUCCUCUUCUCCCGUUCUUCUUCCACAUCGUUCUCAUGUCUCUUGUCCUUCUCAUCACCCAGACUCCAGGAUUCUUGGCUGCGCUCAUCUUCUGGGUUUUCUCGUUUUUCUUCCACAGACUUCAGGAGUUCCUCGAUGUCUUUCACAUCUGCUGCCUUUGCCACUGGCUCUGCGUGAACUUUUACUAUCUCUUCAUGAGUUACUGAGGCAUCCCCACUCUUCUUGUCCAACGGGGCAUGUAUAAUUCCUGCCACAGAGCGAAAGAAAUAUUAAAAACAAUCCACAAAGAGCUACAUAGGUGCAAGUUAUGAUGGAUUUGUAGUGAAAUUUUAAACUUUAGAUCAAAAGAAUAAUGAUCUGAGGAAAUCAGCACUACUUUUUGAGAGAAGUCGUGAAAACUAUGAUCAUUUUUAAUGUAAACUCCUGGCUCAUUUUAUACCUUUGAGCUUCUAACUUGCGCUCUGAAUGCUGUUUUACCUGCCAGAACGUAAAAACUGGAAUUAUCCAACCGAUCAUUUGUGCUACAGACCUGCUUGGAUGAUGUCUUUGCAUUGCUGAUCGACCUGAGAGUCCGGUUUGGAGAGAGCUUUGGACAGGACUUCAACCAAACAUCGUGUUACCUGCAAAAUUCAAAUGAGUUAAACAACAAUGUAGAUCUUUGCACAGAAAAUGCUUUGAUUAAAAAGCAACGAAUCGAAAAACAUACCACAUCCUCUCUCUGCUCUUCUUUGCCAACUGGGAGCGCAAGAUUUCCUGCAUUGGAAUUUUUAAAAAAAGAAGAAAAAAAGCAUGUGUUAAACAUGUAGGUUGAUAAGCGAAUAGUUUGCUUGUAGUGAAUCUGAGGAAUCGAUGGCGUCUCUGUCCAUGGUCCUGAAGAAACUCAACUAAACUCAACAAAAAAGGGAGAAAAAACAGAAUGAAAAGAAAGGCAUAACUCUUUCACCUACCUGUCAACAGAGCCGUAACCGCCAGCACGACUGGAACAAGUCUCAUCGUGACGAGCUGACGGGUAAAUCCGGGAAAACGUGACAAAGCUGGAGCUCUCGUCCCUCCGCGGCGGCAGGAGAGAGCUGCGCUGACUGUGCGCCUGCUGCUCUGAGGGCUGCAGCAGAGGAGCGCCUUAAAUAAAGAGAGGAGUGGGCUGGAGGGGCGUGGGAGGAACAACCUUAGGCUCAGUUAAUGUCAUGACUCAUUAAACCUGCAAAGAGAGCGACUUGAUGGGAAUUUCACGCGCGCAAUUUCGACAUUUUGCGGGAAGCCAAAUUGUAAUCCGGUUAUUGUCGCGGUGCGUUCAGGUGACACGUUAGGUUAACAAGGCGCUGGCAUUAAGAGUUCAUGCGGCUUGUUUGUGCUGCGUUGCCUGCUGGUACGGCGGGUGGACACGACACGACCACGAAGAUGUUAUGCAACGUGAUACCUUACAAGACUACUUUGAAAGUGUCGUUUUCGAUGUUCCCGGAGAAGUUUCUGUUUGCUGCUGGUGCUUGUGUCCUCCUUAGAAAAAUAGUUAUGUUUAUUGCAGGUUAUGCCUGGUGGCUAAUUCCCUUAAAAUAUCAGUUGUCUCUGUGGUUUCCGGUUCUAGUUAUAUAAUUCCUCCCUUAUAUUUGCCCAAACGGCUUGCGUGUGUGCGCUAAAGAAAGUCAGAACUGUACCCAAAUUUCCCCAGUGAUUCAUCCACCUUUGAGCAAGCACCAUCCACUUUCCCUUGGGAGCCAGUGGGCUUCAACACUAGCAGAGGAAAACUAAUGGAGAUCUGCUUCAUUAGUUGUUGUGGUUAAUCGUGCCUGGUGUGCAUAUAAGAGGAAAAGAGUGUGUAGAGGUGUUUUUAUUGUUACUGAUAUUGUUAUUAUUGAUUUGCCUGCACUUUUUCAUUGUUCAGUGAUCUUUCUGGUGCAGUGUGGGUCUGAUCAGGUGUGUAAUCCCACUGUCAUAGAGAAACACGAACAUUUACCCACUACAAUGUGCAAAGUGCAAUUGUGGGUGUGUGUAAGUGUAGAGAUUUUCUUUCCAUUCCCAACUUUGUGGGAAACUAGGCUGUGCAUAAACAGUGCGAGGAUCUGUCAGUGCUGCUGUCUUUAUGACAAACACUGGAUUGGGAUGAGCUGACACAUGCGGCGACAGAGCUCAGACGUAGUAAGCUGGCCUCAGCAUGGCUAAGGACAUUAAAACUGACAAGUGCUGGCAUCUUCUUUUUGGCACUUUGCAUCAUUUUCACUUCCCUGUACAGCAGUUUGUUCUCUCUUUGUCUAUGUGCAAUCAGAUGCACGAAAAAGAAGGAAAAAACAACAACAAAUCAAAUCAAAAAGUGAACUGAGAAUUUUGAUAAUAUAGAAUGCUUAAAACUUAAAGGGGUUCCAUCUCGGAUGUUUUUAGAUAAGUAUUUUUCACAUAUGAUGAGAAGCACUGACCUUUAAAUGCCACAAAAUACAUUCAAAUUCAAUCUUGUCUUGGAAAGCAUAAGUCCAGAAACUGCAACCGCUGCAAGCAAAAUGGGAAUAUUGCUUACCACAAAUCUGAUCUCUUGUCUGUGCUUGUCAUCCCUACAUGACUGGUUAUUGACAUCUCUAUUUGUUUACUGCACAGAGCCUCCUUUGGGGUGACUGAAUUAAUUACUGUUCAGAACAUAAAACUGUAAUGCCAGAUGGUGUAUUGCACACACAAGCAAUACAAGCUGAUUCUGUGGCGUGAAAUAUAGGAGGACCAUUUUCAAGUGUGUAUGCUUUGUGUUCAGUGAACAGCAGUAGGGUAGAAGAGCUCUGCAGUUUCCUCUAUUGUCUCUGGGGAGGAAGUUAUGUCUGAGGCUCGAUAUUCCACAAUGAACCAUGUAGUCAGUAGAUAUCAAAAGCACUGAGCCACUGAAUUAUACAAGUCCUGUGCCCUGAACAAUGUGUGUGUGUGUGCCCGUAAAUGUGUGCUCAUUCACAUGUGGUUCUGUAUAUGUGAUUUUUGUGGCUUUGCCGCUUUUGCUCCAGGCCCGAUUAAUAUUUCAGUAAGCCACAAAGAUAUACUGUAGGAGCUUACAGGGGAUUUCAGAGGAGAAGCCAGAGUGCUCUGCUGGUCUCUCAGAGCACGACUCAGAUCGUCUCGUCUGCAGCAACACCACCUCUUUCAUCAUCUCCAUUUACAUGAAUGAACAAAAGGCAAAGUGGCUCAUGAUGAACACAAUGCAGUGGGCCGCAUGAAAGCCUCGACCGCGCUUUGAUCUUUGGUGGGGACAAGCUUUGUGUUUGGCUCAAACCUACUGUGUGACUUUGAUGAUAGUCCAAGAACAAUAGGGGAGUCUGUGGACAGUCACUUUUGGUCAAAUACACGUGCUUUUGUUAAUAUUCUGUGGUCAAUGCACCAUUGUUGUCUGAUAUUUUGUUGUGAAGGACUAUCUUCUUAUUAGUAUAUAGGCACAGUCUGAUGUACUAAAGACCAAAAGUUCUCACUAAUUAGCACCCAUCCAUUUUUAACAUUUAUCACAGCACAACCGACAAUAAAUAGUUUCUCUUUGUUCUGAAAGGAAUAUAUCUAGUCUGCUGCUGUAUGAGGCCCCGAAGCAUUUUAGAGGACUCUGGAAAUUGUGUGUUUUGUUUUGUUUAUUCACCAAUUACAGCAUUGUAUGUGUGUGUGGGUGGGGAUUAUUAAGAUUGACUGUUGUACUGACAGAAGAUGGCGCUAAAAAUGUUUUUAAAACUUUAAGCACUUAUUUCUUAAAUCCAGCUUCACAGACAGUUUUACAUCUAUGUCAGUUUCUGAGAGCAGGGCUCAGUGGUGUAAAUUAGCCUUUAUACAUGUAGCGUUUAAUGUCACCUUUCAUGCCUCUCUCAGGGUGAACUGUAAAACCUUUGGUAAUGCCUGAUGCAAAAAAUAUGCCAUAUCCAUCAGCAAGAACUGGAUUUGUGGUAGGUUCUGAUUCCAAAUCCCAGGUAAGCCCCCAAAUUAUGUUAGAGCACCUAAAUCAAUUUUUUAAAAGAACUGUUAGCAUUUUAAAUGCCAGUUAAGUUUUUUCACAGUCUCACAAUACUAAACCUCUCUCCUAAAUUCUUGCUUAUCCAAAGGCACUCUCAAAACAAACUACUAAAACCAAGAAUGAAAAUCAACCAAACUGGUGAAACAAAAACUAAAAACAGGGUGUUUGUAAC
ensembl:lncRNA